rnacentral:rRNA from 1 species
UCGAACGGACUCAUAUUGAAACCUAGUGAUUUAUGAGUUAGUGGCGGACGGGUGAUUAACGCGUGGAUAACCUGCCGUAUACCGGGGGAUAACACUUGGAAAUAGGUGCUAAUACCGCAUAAGCGCACGGCUCCGCAUGGGGCAGUGUGAAAAACUCCGGUGGUAUACGAUGGAUCCGCGUCUGAUUAGCUAGUUGGCGGGGUAACGGCCCACCAAGGCAGCGAUCAGUAGCCGGCCUGAGAGGGUGGACGGCCACAUUGGGACUGAGACACGGCCCAAACUCCUACGGGAGGCAGCAGUGGGGAAUAUUGCACAAUGGGGGAAACCCUGAUGCAGCGACGCCGCGUGAGUGAAGAAGUAUCUCGGUACGUAAAGCUCUAUCAGCAGGGAAGAAAAUGACGGUACCUGACUAAGAAGCCCCGGCUAACUACGUGCCAGCAGCCGCGGUAAUACGUAGGGGGCAAGCGUUAUCCGGAUUUACUGGGUGUAAAGGGAGCGUAGACGGCAGCACAAGUCUGGAGUGAAAUCCCGGGGCUUAACCCCGGAACUGCUUUGGAAACUGUGCGGCUGGAGUGCAGGAGGGGUAAGCGGAAUUCCUAGUGUAGCGGUGAAAUGCGUAGAUAUUAGGAGGAACACCGGUGGCGAAGGCGGCUUACUGGACUGUAACUGACGUUGAGGCUCGAAAGCGUGNGGAGCAAACAGGAUUAGAUACCCUGGNAGUCCACGCCGUAAACGAUGAUUACUAG